GCCAGCAGGGCAGGAUGCAUCUAGGGACUGUUGCCCAUAGCCCUGGGCCACAGGUCUUGCCGGCAGCUUCUCCACUCCCCUGCAAAUUCCUUUAUAAUGGACUUGAGGGGUUUCACUAAUAAGAGGGUUUGGGGACAGUUGUUUUUCACAGAAAUGCCUCCUAGGCCAGACUUAUCAGGCUAGGAAGAGUAUAUGUGGCUGCCGUGCAAGGUGACACCUGUGGAGAGUGACAGCAUUGAAUAUGGCUAACGUGACUGCCGUGCACAUACCGGAAACGUCCCAGCGUCAUCUGCCACUUGUGCUCGGCAGGAAAGGUUGCCAGGCUUCUUUGCAAAAAAUCACAGUAAUGUCACGUCCAUACUGAGAAGGAAAAUUCCUUCAUCAAUGGAAUGCAAUGUCACUGUCCCAUGUAUCCGGAGUGGCGUUGGUUUGGGACUGCCCAUUCAUUCAUACGGUGCUCGCCGCAUGCUAAGUACCAGAACAGACAAUGGAGACAUGAAGACGGCCGACGUCGUCCUUAACCAUAAGGCAAAUGAACACAGACACAGGUGAUUUCAAAGGUGCAAUGGAUUUGGGGAAGACGGGGAGAAGCUGGAGAGAAUGGGGUCCCUGGUUAGGUAAGUCUCUGGCUAAAGAGGGCCUUCUAUAGAAAAUAAACUUUCAAGAUACAUCAACUAAAUAUCAAGAAAACUGAUUUAAUAAUAAUCAGUAAGGCUUUACUCUGCAAGUUCUCUCGACAAACAUUCAUGGGUGUCGCCUUGUGAAACUGCACAGGCACGGAGACACAACGCAGAAAGAUGCAUGAGCAACGACCCGUCCUCCAAGGAGCUUGAAUUCGAGUAAGCAAACAAUAGACUAUCAUCAAAGGAGCUGAUGUACAAGUGGAGUGCCUCAGAAGCGUAAUGAAACGAAUGACUUCUCGUUUACAAAGCUCCUAGUUUUUGAGCCACUGAAUUAUUCCAGGACCGUCCUUCUUUGCAAGUCCACGUUCCUUUCUAUGUGU